rnacentral:rRNA from 1 species
GCAAGUCGAGCGCAGGAAGCUCACGGAACUCUUCGGAGGGAAGUGAAGGGAAUGAGCGGCGGACGGGUGAGUAACACGUAAGGAACCUGCCCCAAGGAUUGGGAUAACUCCGAGAAAUCGGAGCUAAUACCGAAUAGUUCUUCAGACCGCAUGGUCUGAUGAUGAAAGGCGCUUCGGCGUCACCUUGGGAUGGCCUUGCGGUGCAUUAGCUAGUUGGUGGGGUAAUGGCCCACCAAGGCGACGAUGCAUAGCCGACCUGAGAGGGUGAUCGGCCACACUGGGACUGAGACACGGCCCAGACUCCUACGGGAGGCAGCAGUAGGGAAUCUUCCACAAUGGACGAAAGUCUGAUGGAGCAACGCCGCGUGAGUGAUGAAGGUUUUCGGAUCGUAAAACUCUGUUGUAAGGGAAGAACAGGCAUGAGAGGUAAUGCUCAUGCUAUGACGGUACCUUGCGAGAAAGCCACGGCUAACUACGUGCCAGCAGCCGCGGUAAUACGUAGGUGGCAAGCGUUGUCCGGAAUUAUUGGGCGUAAAGCGCGCGCAGGCGGCCUUUUAAGUCUGAUGUGAAAGCCCCCGGCUCAACCGGGGAGGGUCAUUGGAAACUGGAAGGCUUGAGUACAGAAGAGAAGAGUGGAAUUCCAUGUGUAGCGGUGAAAUGCGUAGAGAUGUGGAGGAACACCAGUGGCGAAGGCGACUCUUUGGUCUGUAACUGACGCUGAGGCGCGAAAGCGUGGGGAGCAAACAGGAUUAGAUACCCUGGUAG